rnacentral:rRNA from 1 species
UCCUACGGGGGGCAGCAGUGGGGAAUAUUGCACAAUGGGCGAAAGCCUGAUGCAGCAACGCCGCGUGAAGGAAGAAGGGUUUCGGCUCGUAAACCUCUGUCAGCAGGGAAGAACGGUCACUGUGCUAAUCAGCAGUGAAUUGACGGUACCUGCAAAGGAAGCACCGGCUAACUCCGUGCCAGCAGCCGCGGUAAUACGGAGGGUGCGAGCGUUAAUCGGAAUUACUGGGCGUAAAGCGCUCGUAGGCGGUAUGUCGAGUCAAGGGUGAAAUCCCCGCGCUCAACGUGGGAACUGCCUUUGAAACU